GGGAGCAUGAGGACAUCCUGGCCGUGGAGGGCGACCGAGUACUGCGCGGGGGGCCCCGCGGGAACGGAGAAGAGGAACUCUCUCCAUAGCGCAUAGGGGGCCCCGGGUAGCCCUGGCCCUGACGUGCAGCCAUUGGCGCAGGCCUCGGGGUGGCAGGAGGCGUCCAGCGGCAAGCAGAUGUUGGCUCCAGGGCACCAGCGUCCCCCUGGCAUGCACGCGGGGGCCAGCUGGGUCCUGUUGUCCGGGGACCUGCUCUCAGGCUCGCUGCCGUUCUCCGGGGUCCCUG
rnacentral:lncRNA from 1 species